GACCAGUCAGCCUGAUUUGCCUGGGACUGAGGGGUUCCCAGGACAUGGGGCUUCUGGUGCUU
rnacentral:miRNA from 1 species